rnacentral:tRNA from 1 species
AGUGUGUAGCUCAAUGGUAGAGCAUUUGCCUAGCAUGCACAAGGCCCCGGGUUCAAUCCCCAGCACCACCA